rnacentral:rRNA from 1 species
UUGAACGCUGGCGGCAUGCUUUACACAUGCAAGUCGAACGGUAACAGGUCUUCGGAUGCUGACGAGUGGCGAACGGGUGAGUAAUGCAUCGGAACGUGCCCAGUCGUGGGGGAUAACGCAGCGAAAGCUGUGCUAAUACCGCAUACGAUCUAUGGAUGAAAGCGGGGGAUCGCAAGACCUCGCGCGAUUGGAGCGGCCGAUGUCAGAUUAGCUAGUUGGUGGGGUAAAGGCCCACCAAGGCGACGAUCUGUAGCUGGUCUGAGAGGACGACCAGCCACACUGGGACUGAGACACGGCCCAGACUCCUACGGGAGGCAGCAGUGGGGAAUUUUGGACAAUGGGCGCAAGCCUGAUCCAGCAAUGCCGCGUGCAGGAAGAAGGCCUUCGGGUUGUAAAGCUCUUUCAGCUGGAACGAAACGGUACGCUCUAACAUAGUGUGCUAAUGACGGUACCAGCAGAAGAAGCACCGGCUAACUACGU